rnacentral:rRNA from 1 species
CCUACGGGAGGCAGCAGUGGGGAAUAUUGGACAAUGGGCGCAAGCCUGAUCCAGCCAUGCCGCGUGAGUGAUGAAGGCCUUAGGGUUGUAAAGCUCUUUUGGCGGGGACGAUAAUGACGGUACCCGCAGAAUAAGUCCCGGCUAACUUCGUGCCAGCAGCCGCGGUAAUACGAAGGGGACUA